rnacentral:rRNA from 1 species
UACGUAGGGUGCAAGCGUUAAUCGGAAUUACUGGGCGUAAAGCGUGCGCAGGCGGUUCGUUGUGUCGGCGGUGAAAGCCCCGGGCUUAACCUGGGAAUGGCCGUUGAAACUGGCGAACUGGAGUGUGGCAGGGGAGACUGGAAUUCCUGGUGUAGCGGUGGAAUGCGCAGAUAUCAGGAGGAACACCGGUGGCGAAGGCGGGUCUCUGGGCCGUUACUGACGCUGAGGAGCGAAAGCGUGGGGAGCGAACAGG